rnacentral:rRNA from 1 species
UACGUAGGGUCCGAGCGUUGUCCGGAAUUACUGGGCGUAAAGAGCUCGUAGGUGGUUUGUCGCGUUGUUCGUGAAAACUCACAGCUUAACUGUGGGCGUGCGGGCGAUACGGGCAGACUGGAGUACUGCAGGGGAGACUGGAAUUCCUGGUGUAGCGGUGGAAUGCGCAGAUAUCAGGAGGAACACCGGUGGCGAAGGCGGGUCUCUGGGCAGUAACUUACGCUGAGGAGCGAAAGCGUGGGGAGCGAACAGG